GCCGGGUGCGGUGGCGUGUGCCUGCCAUCCAAGCUACUGGGAGGGUGAGGCUGGCGGACCGCCUGAGCUCAGGGGUCUGGGCUGCCGUGGAUCGGGUGUCCGCACUAAGUUCGGCACCGAUAUGGUGCUCCUGGGGGAGCCCGGGACCACCAGGUCGUCUAAGGAGGGGUGAACCGGCCCAGGUCAGAAACAGAGCAGGUCAAAGCCCCCGUGCCACUCAGUAGUGUGAUCGUGCCCGUAAAUAGACACUGUAGUGCAGCCUGAGCAAUACAGUGAGACACAGUCUUU
rnacentral:SRP_RNA from 1 species